GACGAACGCUGGCGGCGUGCUUAACACAUGCAAGUCGAACGAAGUGGCGAACGGGUGAGUAACGCGUAAUCAACCUGCCCUUCAGAGGGGGACAACAGUUGGAAACGACUGCUAAUAACGCAUACUGAAGGAGGGGAUUGCGUCGGAUUAGCUAGUUGGAGGGGUAACGGCCCACCAAGGCGAUGAUCAGUAGCCGGUAUGAGAGGGUGAACGGCCACAUUGGGACUGAGGACCGGCCCAGACUCCUACGGGAGGCAUGAGUGGGGAAUCGUCCGCAAUGGACGAAAGUCUUACGGAGCAACGCCGCGGGAGGGAUGACGGCCUUCGGGUUGUAAAGCUCUGUUAAUCGGGACGCGGUACCGGAAUAGAAAGCCACGGCUAACUACGUGCCAGCAGCCGCGGUAAUUC
rnacentral:rRNA from 1 species